GACGAACGCUGGCGGCGUGCUUAACACAUGCAAGUCGAACGAAGUGGCGAACGGGUGAGUAACGCGUAAUCAACCUGCUCUUCAGAGGGGGACAACAGUUGGAAACGACUGCUAAUACCGCAUACUGAAGGACUGGUAUGCGUCGGAUUGGCUAGUUGGAGGGGUAAUGGCCCACCAAGGGGAUGAUCAGUAGCCGGUCUGGGAGGGAGAACGGCCACAUUGGGACUGAGGCACGGCCCAGACUCCUACGGGGGGGAGCAGUGGGGAAUCUUCCGCAAUGGGCGAAAGUCUGACGGAGCAACGCCGCGUGAGUGAUGACGGCCUUCGGGUUGUAAAGCUCUGUUAAUCGGGACGCGGUACCGGAAGAGAAAGCCACGGCUAACUACGUGCCAGCAGCCGCGGUAAUAC
rnacentral:rRNA from 1 species